rnacentral:misc_RNA from 1 species
GAUGAAGAACGCAGCGAAAUGCGAUAAGUAAUGUGAAUUGCAGAAUCCAGUGAAUCAUCGAAUCUUUGAACGCACAUUGCGCCCGCCAGUAUUCUGGCGGGCAUGCCUGUCUGAGCGUCAUUUCAACCCUCAUGCCCCUAGGGCGUGGUGUUGGGGAUCGGCCAAAGCCCGCGAGGGACGGCCGGCCCCUAAAUCUAGUGGCGGACCCGUCGUGGCCUCCUCUGCGAAGUAGUGAUAUUCCGCAUCGGAGAGCGAUGAGCCCCUGCCGUUAAACCCCCAACUUUCCAAGGUUGACCUCAGAUCAGGUAGGAAUACCCGCUGAACUUAAGCAUAUCAAUAAGCGGAGGA